GGAAGAAGACCUCCUUGAGAAGAAAAUGGGUGAGUGAAGGCAACAAGCAAUUGACAUGGAUCGAGCAUCUACACUGGACAUGGCCCUAACAGUGGGCAGCGUGAAACUGAGGAACACAGCAGGAAGCUGAUUUAGGCAAACUCAGCAGAACUGGCCAGAGGCUGGUAGGAGGAUUAUUAUGGGCAGGCUGGCUUUCCUCAACUCUUAAUAACACCACCACUCCACACAGAAAAGAACUUCUCUUAUGACUGCCCUCUUUUCCUCAUAAAUCCCUCAAUGAGUUUUCUGAGAAUAGGCCCAAUGGGCUGGCUGUUCUGGAAGGACUUUAAUCAGCUUUCUUCACGAUGGACUGGAGAAGUGUUCCCCGUGAACCCAUGAGACUUCAUCCCUGCAUUGGUCUGGCUGGCUUUCCC
rnacentral:lncRNA from 1 species